rnacentral:rRNA from 1 species
UACGUAGGGGGCAAGCGUUGUCCGGAAUCAUUGGGCGUAAAUAGCGCGUAGGCGGCCCUGUAAGUCCGCUGUGAAAGUCAAGGGCUCAACCCUUGAAUGCCGGUGGAUACUGCAGGGCUAGAGUCCGGAAGAGGCGAGUGGAAUUCCUGGUGUAGCGGUGAAAUGCGCAGAUAUCAGGAGGAACACCGAUGGCGAAGGCAGCUCGCUGGGACGGUACUGACGCUGAGGCGCGAAAGCGUGGGGAGCAAACAGG